rnacentral:tRNA from 1 species
UGGGGCGUGGCCAAGUGGCAAGGCAACGGGUUUUGGUCCCGCUAUUCGGAGGUUCGAAUCCUUCCGUCCCAG